CUAAUACCGGAUAUGACCGUCCAUCGCAUGGUGGAUGGUGUAAAGCUCCGGCGGUGCAGGAUGAGCCCGCGGCCUAUCAGCUAGUUGGUGAGGUAGUGGCUCACCAAGGCGACGACGGGUAGCCGGCCUGAGAGGGCGACCGGCCACACUGGGACUGAGACACGGCCCAGACUCCUACGGGAGGCAGCAGUGGGGAAUAUUGCACAAUGGGCGAAAGCCUGAUGCAGCGACGCCGCGUGAGGGAUGACGGCCUUCGGGUUGUAAACCUCUUUCAGCAGGGAAGAAGCGAAAGUGACGGUACCUGCAGAAGAAGCGCCGGCUAACUACGUGCCAGCAGCCGCGGUAAUACGUAGGGCGCAAGCGUUGUCCGGAAUUAUUGGGCGUAAAGAGCUCGUAGGCGGCUUGUCACGUCGGUUGUGAAAGCCCGGGGCUUAACCCCGGGUCUGCAGUCGAUACGGGCAGGCUAGAGUUCGGUAGGGG
rnacentral:rRNA from 1 species